GAAGGUCCGGGCGUUAUCCGGAUUUAUUGGGUUUAAAGGGAGCGUAGGCGGACCGUCAAGUCAGCGGUAAAAUGUCGGGGCUCAACCCCGGCCGGCCGUUGAAACUGGCGGACUUGAGUUGGAGAGAAGUAUGCGGAAUUCGUGGUGUAGCGGUGAAAUGCAUAGAUAUCACGAAGAACUCCGAUUGCGAAGGCAGCAUACCGGCUCCACACUGACGCUGAGGCACGAAAGCGUGGGUAUC
rnacentral:rRNA from 1 species